rnacentral:rRNA from 1 species
UGAAUCCAUAGGUUAAUGAGGCGAACCGGGGGAACUGAAACAUCUAAGUACCCCGAGGAAAAGAAAUCAACCGAGAUUCCCCCAGUAGCGGCGAGCGAACGGGGAGGAGCCCAGAGCCUGAAUCAGUGUGUGUGUUAGUGGAAGCGUCUGGAAAGGCGCGCGAUACAGGGUGACAGCCCCGUACACAAAAAUGCACAUACUGUGAGCUCGAUGAGUAGGGCGGGACACGUGGUAUCCUGUCUGAAUAUGGGGGGACCAUCCUCCAAGGCUAAAUACUCCUGACUGACCGAUAGUGAACCAGUACCGUGAGGGAAAGGCGAAAAGAACCCCGGCGAGGGGAGUGAAAAAGAACCUGAAACCGUGUACGUACAAGCAGUGGGAGCCUCUUAAUGGGGUGACUGCGUACCUUUUGUAUAAUGGGUCAGCGACUUAUAUUCUGUAGCAAGGUUAACCGAAUAGGGGAGCCGAAGGGAAACCGAGUCUUAACUGGGCGUUAAGUUGCAGGGUAUAGACCCGAAACCCGGUGAUCUAGCCAUGGGCAGGUUGAAGGUUGGGUAACACUAACUGGAGGACCGAACCGACUAAUGUUGAAAAAUUAGCGGAUGACUUGUGGCUGGGGGUGAAAGGCCAAUCAAACCGGGAGAUAGCUGGUUCUCCCCGAAAGCUAUUUAGGUAGCGCCUCGUGAAUUCAUCUCCGGGGGUAGAGCACUGUUUCGGCAAGGGGGUCAUCCCGACUUACCAACCCGAUGCAAACUGCGAAUACCGGAGAAUGUUAUCACGGGAGACACACGGCGGGUGCUAACGUCCGUCGUGAAGAGGGAAACAACCCAGACCGCCAGCUAAGGUCCCAAAGUCAUGGUUAAGUGGGAAACGAUGUGGGAAGGCCCAGACAGCCAGGAUGUUGGCUUAGAAGCAGCCAUCAUUUAAAGAAAGCGUAAUAGCUCACUGGUCGAGUCGGCCUGCGCGGAAGAUGUAACGGGGCUAAACCAUGCACCGAAGCUGCGGCAGCGACACUAUGUGUUGUUGGGUAGGGGAGCGUUCUGUAAGCCUGUGAAGGUGGCCUGUGAGGGUUGCUGGAGGUAUCAGAAGUGCGAAUGCUGACAUAAGUAACGAUAAAGCGGGUGAAAAGCCCGCUCGCCGGAAGACCAAGGGUUCCUGUCCAACGUUAAUCGGGGCAGGGUGAGUCGACCCCUAAGGCGAGGCCGAAAGGCGUAGUCGAUGGGAAACAGGUUAAUAUUCCUGUACUUGGUGUUACUGCGAAGGGGGGACGGAGAAGGCUAUGUUGGCCGGGCGACGGUUGUCCCGGUUUAAGCGUGUAGGCUGGUUUUCCAGGCAAAUCCGGAAAACCAAGGCUGAGGCGUGAUGACGAGGCACUACGGUGCUGAAGCGACAAAUGCCCUGCUUCCAGGAAAAGCCUCUAAGCAUCAGGUAACAUCAAAUCGUACCCCAAACCGACACAGGUGGUCAGGUAGAGAAUACCAAGGCGCUUGAGAGAACUCGGGUGAAGGAACUAGGCAAAAUGGUGCCGUAACUUCGGGAGAAGGCACGCUGAUAUGUAGGUGAAGCGACUUGCUCGUGGAGCUGAAAUCAGUCGAAGAUACCAGCUGGCUGCAACUGUUUAUUAAAAACACAGCACUGUGCAAACACGAAAGUGGACGUAUACGGUGUGACGCCUGCCCGGUGCCGGAAGGUUAAUUGAUGGGGUUAGCGGCAACGCGAAGCUCUUGAUCGAAGCCCCGGUAAACGGCGGCCGUAACUAUAACGGUCCUAAGGUAGCGAAAUUCCUUGUCGGGUAAGUUCCGACCUGCACGAAUGGCGUAAUGAUGGCCAGGCUGUCUCCACCCGAGACUCAGUGAAAUUGAACUCGCUGUGAAGAUGCAGUGUACCCGCGGCAAGACGGAAAGACCCCGUGAACCUUUACUAUAGCUUGACACUGAACAUUGAGCCUUGAUGUGUAGGAUAGGUGGGAGGCUUUGAAGUGUGGACGCCAGUCUGCAUGGAGCCGACCUUGAAAUACCACCCUUUAAUGUUUGAUGUUCUAACGUUGGCCCGUAAUCCGGGUUGCGGACAGUGUCUGGUGGGUAGUUUGACUGGGGCGGUCUCCUCCUAAAGAGUAACGGAGGAGCACGAAGGUUGGCUAAUCCUGGUCGGACAUCAGGAGGUUAGUGCAAUGGCAUAAGCCAGCUUGACUGCGAGCGUGACGGCGCGAGCAGGUGCGAAAGCAGGUCAUAGUGAUCCGGUGGUUCUGAAUGGAAGGGCCAUCGCUCAACGGAUAAAAGGUACUCCGGGGAUAACAGGCUGAUACCGCCCAAGAGUUCAUAUCGACGGCGGUGUUUGGCACCUCGAUGUCGGCUCAUCACAUCCUGGGGCUGAAGUAGGUCCCAAGGGUAUGGCUGUUCGCCAUUUAAAGUGGUACGCGAGCUGGGUUUAGAACGUCGUGAGACAGUUCGGUCCCUAUCUGCCGUGGGCGCUGGAGAACUGAGGGGGGCUGCUCCUAGUACGAGAGGACCGGAGUGGACGCAUCACUGGUGUUCGGGUUGUCAUGCCAAUGGCACUGCCCGGUAGCUAAAUGCGGAAGAGAUAAGUGCUGAAAGCAUCUAAGCACGAAACUUGCCCCGAGAUGAGUUCUCCCUGAGACUUAGAGUCUCCUGAAGGAACGUUGAAGACGACGACGUUGAUAGGCCGGGUGUGUAAGCGCAGCGAUGCGUUGAGCUAACCGGUACUAAUGAACCGUGAGGCUUAACCUUACAACGCCGAAG